UGGCCGGUGAGGAAACAUGAGUUGUACAGAUACUCUAGUGAGUAAAAUGAAGUACACUGAUACACACACAUUGCGUUUCUGAGGUCA
rnacentral:snoRNA from 1 species